UUUCAAUAAGUUUUGUAAAAAAUCUUAAUUCAUUUUUCUUUAUAGGUCAUCUUCCUCCUGGGUCUGGUGGCGGUGGUUGCCGCAGACAAGCUUCCUACCUCCUAUGGUCCACCUCCCCAGGUAUCCAGGUACGCCUCAUCUGAGGAGGAGUCUGAUCCCCCAAAGUAUGUCUACAACUGGAACGUGCAGGACAGCUACUCUGGCAAUGACUUCGCCCACCAGGAGGACCGUGAAGACGACAACACCAAGGGGUCGUACACCGUGCAGCUUCCCGACGGUCGUCUGCAGACUGUUACAUACUACGUGGACGGUGACUCAGGCUACGUGGCCGAGGUCAGCUACCAGGGUGAGGCUCAGUACCCCGAGUCUGAAGAGUCCAGGGAGUACGCCCCACCCAGGCCCCGGUACUCCGCCCCCCAGUCUGAGGAAUCUGUGGAGGCUCCCGUGUACUCUCCACCCAGGCGAUCAUACGGUGCCCCUCAGUAACUCGUUCACGAAAGAGGACAUACGACUAUACAUGUUUUAACACCAUUGUUUCCUAAGACUAUUUUCAGUCAUGAAAUUUUUGUAAAUUAUUCCAAAUUAUGUUUAUCUCCAACUUCAAAUAUCUUUAAGAAUUUCUCAGAAUUUAUCUCUUACUUUCUUCAGAUGGAGAUAAUAUUCUCUUCUUUCUUUAAUCUGUAUUGCACUUUCUCGAGUGAAAUUUCUCUACUAUUAUAUGUACCAUUAUCUUACUGUGAAUAUUUAUUAAACUGAAUAAAUUAUGAAGAAUGAA
rnacentral:lncRNA from 1 species